rnacentral:rRNA from 1 species
GACAGAGGUGCCAAGCGUUAGGCGGAAUCACUGGGCUUAAAGCGUGUGUAGGCGGGUCGUUAAGUACCUUGUGAAAUCCCACGGCUCAACCGUGGAACUGCUUGGUAUACUGGCGAUCUUAAGCCAGCUAGGGGCUACCGGAACAAACGGUGGAGCGGUGAAAUGCGUAGAUAUCGUUUGGAACGCCAAUGGUGAAAACAGGUAGCUGGGGCUGUGCUGACGCUGAGACACGAAAGCCAGGGGAGCGAACGGG